rnacentral:rRNA from 1 species
UAGUGGCGGACGGGUGAGUAACGCGUGGGUACCUGCCUCAUACAGGGGGAUAGCAGCUGGAAACGGCUGAUAAAACCGCAUAAGAUCGCAUGAUAAAAACUCCGGUGGUAUGAGAUGGACCCGCGUCUGAUUAGCUGGUUGGUGAGGUAACGGCCCACCAAGGCGACGAUCAGUAGCCGGCCUGAGAGGGUGACCGGCCACAUUGGGACUGAGACACGGCCCAAACUCCUACGGGAGGCAGCAGUGGGGAAUAUUGCACAAUGGGGGAAACCCUGAUGCAGCGACGCCGCGUGAAGGAAGAAGUAUCUCGGUAUGUAAACUUCUAUCAGCAGGGAAGAUAAUGACGGUACCUGACUAAGAAGCCCCGGCUAACUACGUGCCAGCAGCCGCGGUAAUACGUAGGGGGCAAGCGUUAUUCGGAUUUACUGGGUGUAAAGGGAGCGUAGGCGGCGGAGCAAGUCAGAAGUGAAAGCCGGGGCUCAACCCCGGGACGGCUUUGAAACUGCCCUGCUCGAUUUCAGGAGAGGUAAGCGGAGUUCCUAGUGUAGCGGUGAAAUGCGUAGAUAUUAGGAGGAACACCAGUGGCGAAGGCGGCUUACUGGACU